GGGGAUUUGGCUCAGUGGUAGAGCGCUUGCCUAGCAAGCGAAAGGCCCUGGGUUCGGUCCCAGCUCCU
rnacentral:tRNA from 1 species